GUCAAACUUUUACAAGCAGAACUAAUACAGCAAUUAAACAAAUUUAAAACAAGCAUGUGGUGAAAUACAAACAUAAAGACGUACCAAAAUUUUGUGUCACAAUUUCAAAUAUUGGCACUAAACAGGGAUUAGAUACCCCUUUAUACAAUGUUAUAUAAACUGCUGAGUAGUACGCUACAUAGCCGAAACUUAAACAAUAUGGCGGUAACUUUGAUUUAGGGGAACUUACCGAAUAAAUGAUAACCACCAAGGUAAAUUAACCAAUAAGAAUUCUUGUAUGCCGUCGUCGUCAGACAAUACUUGUGGUAUUCUCUUUGUGUAUUUACAAAAAGACAGAUCAAGGUGCAGACAAUUUUUUGGUUUUGGCGAGUUACAUUUUAGAGUUAAAGCAGAUCAACCAGGUAGCGGUAUGUGAAGGGGGACUUAACAGUAAUAUUCCAUUAUUUUUAUAUUAUGAAACUUCCUUCAAAGUUGUGCACAA
rnacentral:rRNA from 1 species